UACGUAGGGUGCAAGCGUUGUCCGGAAUUAUUGGGCGUAAAGAGCGCGCAGGCGGUCGUUCAAGUCGAGUGUGAAAGCCCCGGGCUCAACCUGGGAACGGCGCGCGAGACGGGGGGGCUGGAGUUCGGGAGAGGAGCGUGGAAUUCCCAGUGUAGAGGUGAAAUUCGUAGAUAUUGGGAAGAACACCGGUGGCGAAGGCGGCGCUCGUGGACCGAGACUGACGCUGAGGCGCGAAAGCGUGGGGAGCAAACAGG
rnacentral:rRNA from 1 species